AUAGAAUGUACAGCGCCAGGAGUGAAUCCUAAGGGAAACAGCGGAUUUUUGUUGACUGUGAUGUGUCAAUGCUGGUCAUCCUUGGGAGAAAAAGGAUUCUGACUACGCAUCGGGAAUUCUCUCUUGUCUGUCCCUUUCGUAAGGCAGCAAGAGCUACCUUACUGGUGAGUUUGCCAGAAGGCCGGCUUCUGAGUUCUUUCUCUUUGGGUUCCUGGUCCAGAGAGUGCCAUGAGGUAAGCUUAUUGGAGUUCAUUGGCGUGGUGAUGCCCUUGAGGAGAACUGUAGUUAACUAGC
rnacentral:lncRNA from 1 species